rnacentral:lncRNA from 1 species
GUGUAGAUGCCGUAUGGCUUUUUCAUUGUCGAGUAAAAUUUUAGACUCGUCUUUGGAGGCUACUCACCCUCGAAUUGAUUGUUGGAGGCCCAAACCCCUCAAAGUGGUCAUUCCAAAAUCUGUUUCUUUUACAAUACCACCGGGUUCGUAUCUGCAUAAAGCCUUUUAUAACAAGACUACCAACAUAGAAAGCAUCAUCAUUAGACACGUAUUUACAAUGUGUACUUAGAUCAACCAUGUACUGAAUAUUGUAGAGGUGUUAGCACACUCAACCAAAGUGUUCUAAGCAAAGUGAUUUAAAUGCCUGAAUCUCAUAUAAAGACACAGAUUUAGUGUUCAUGAAAGCUUCUGAGCAUCGAUAGAGCCCUAUCUUAGUUGUGAUUUGUCUUCCACAAACAUGGCAAAGUUGCAAACCUCUCCCACAGUCAUAGCAAAUCUUUGAAUAACCAAAUUAGUUAUGACACUUCCUCAGUAAGUGUCUAAUCAUAACAGUAGUUCAACAGAUUGUAUCUUUCAAUUCCUAACCUGGAAACUAUCAAAAGCCUCAAACUCAUGCAUCAUGUCCCCAGUCCACACCAGCUCCAACCAGAACAACUGAUAAGGGAU